AGACACAAUGACCAACAACAUCGAGAGUAAGGAGGAGCAAAGCGUAAUCCGGAAUCAUUGAUUUUAAAGCGUCGUUAGGCGGUCAUAUAAGUAACGAGUGAAAGCCCAUCGUUCAUCUAUGGAACUGACCUUGAUACGGUAAGACUUGAAUGCUUAAGAAGUAACUAAAAUAUUUAGUGUAGCGGUGAAAUGCUUAGAUAUUACAUGGAAUACCAAUUGCGAAGGCAGGUUACUACUAAGUGAUUGACGCUGAUGGACGAAAGCGUGGGGAGCGAACAGGAUUAGAUACCCUAGUAGUC
rnacentral:rRNA from 1 species